ACAACCCCUGCCCCAGGCACUGGGGACCCCGUGUGCCAAGGGAUGCCCUGCCCUGUUACCUCAUCAUAGAACAUCAGCUUGACAUCGCAGGGAGAGAAGCGGCCAGAAAACGCCAGCAGCUACCCCUGCACCAAGCCAGGGACUUGUCUGAGGAAACUCCCGCCAGGACGGUACCAGGCUGGAUAUGCAGAGUUGAGAUGGAGAAUCCACCACUUCCCUUUAGAAUCUGUCCCAGUGGUUAAUCGCCCACACUGGGACAAAGCGUGCAGCGUAUUUCUAACUGACUUGUUCUGCCUGUCUCCACUCAAGUCAGGAGCCCUGUGGCAGCAGGCAGGAUCUCCCCAGGAAGGUACAUACAGGCUAAUCAAGGCA